rnacentral:rRNA from 1 species
AGUGAACGCUGGCGGUAGGCCUAACUCAUGCAAGUCGAACGGCAGCACAGUAAGAGCUUGCUCUUACGGGUGGCGAGUGGCGGACGGGUGAGGAAUACAUCGGAAUCUACUUUUUCGUGGGGGAUAACGUAGGGAAACUUACGCUAAUACCGCAUACGACCUACGGGUGAAAGCAGGGGAUCUUCGGACCUUGCGCGAUUGAAUGAGCCGAUGUCGGAUUAGCUAGUUGGCGGGGUAAAGGCCCACCAAGGCGACGAUCCGUAGCUGGUCUGAGAGGAUGAUCAGCCACACUGGAACUGAGACACGGUCCAGACUCCUACGGGAGGCAGCAGUGGGGAAUAUUGGACAAUGGGCGCAAGCCUGAUCCAGCCAUACCGCGUGGGUGAAGAAGGCCUUCGGGUUGUAAAGCCCUUUUGUUGGGAAAGAAAAGUAGCAGGUUAAUACCCCGCUGUUCUGACGGUACCCAAAGAAUAAGCACCGGCUAACUUCGUG